rnacentral:rRNA from 1 species
CCUACGGGUGGCAGCAGUCGAGAAUAAUUCGCAAUGGACGAAAGUCUGACGAUGCGACGCCGUGUGAACGAUGAAGGCCUUCGGGUUGUAAAGUUCUGUCGCCUAAGAACAAGGCCGAUAGGAGAAUAUCUUAUUGGUUUGAGUGUACUAGGAGAGGAAGCACCGGCUAACUCCGUGCCAGCAGCUGCGGUAAUACGGAGGGUGCAAGCGUUAGUCGGAAUUACUGGGCGUAAAGGGUGCGUAGGCGGGGAUAUAAGUCAGAUGUGAAAUACUGGAGCUUAACUUCAGGGCUGCAUCUGAAACUGUAUUUCUAGAGGGAUAGCGGGGAAAACGGAAUUCCAUGUGUAGCGGUGAAAUGCGUAGAUAUAUGGAAGAACACCAGUGGCGAAGGCGGUUUUCUAGCUUAACCUGACGCUGAGGCACGAAAGCAAGGGGAGCAA